rnacentral:rRNA from 1 species
GAUGAACGCUAGCUACAGGCUUAACACAUGCAAGUCGAGGGGAAACGGCAUUGAGUGCUUGCACUCUUUGGACGUCGACCGGCGCACGGGUGAGUAACGCGUAUCCAACCUCCCCAUUACUGUGGGAUAACCUGCCGAAAGGCAGACUAAUACCGCAUAGUCUUCGAUGACGGCAUCAGAUUUGAAGUAAAGAUUUAUCGGUAAUGGAUGGGGAUGCGUCUGAUUAGCUUGUUGGCGGGGUAACGGCCCACCAAGGCUACGAUCAGUAGGGGUUCUGAGAGGAAGGUCCCCCACAUUGGAACUGAGACACGGUCCAAACUCCUACGGGAGGCAGCAGUGAGGAAUAUUGGUCAAUGGACGGAAGUCUGAACCAGCCAAGUAGCGUGCAGGAUGACGGCCCUAUGGGUUGUAAACUGCUUUUGUAUGGGGAUAAAGUUAGGGACGUGUCCCUAUUUGCAGGUACCAUACGAAUAAGGACCGGCUAAUUCCGUGCCAGCAGCCGCGGUAAUACGGAAGGUCCAGGCGUUAUCCGGAUUUAUUGGGUUUAAAGGGAGCGUAGGCUGGAGAUUAAGUGUGUUGUGAAAUGUAGACGCUCAACGUCUGAAUUGCAGCGCAUACUGGUUUCCUUGAGUACGCACAACGUUGGCGGAAUUCGUCGUGUAGCGGUGAAAUGCUUAGAUAUGACGAAGAACUCCGAUUGCGAAGGCAGCUGACGGGAGCGCAACUGACGCUUAAGCUCGAAGGUGCGGGUAUCAAACAGG